rnacentral:rRNA from 1 species
AGGACGAACGCUGGCGGCGUGCUUAACACAUGCAAGUCGAGCGGAAAGGCCCUUCGGGGUACUCGAGCGGCGAACGGGUGAGUAACACGUGAGCAACCUGCCCUUAGCUCCGGGAUAGCUCCGGGAAACCGGAAUUAAUACCGGAUAUGACCUAGGCCGACAUCGGCUGUGGUGGAAAGUUUUUCGGCUGGGGAUGGACUCGCGGCCUAUCAGCUUGUUGGUGGGGUAAUGGCCUACCAAGGCGACGACGGGUAGCCGGCCUGAGAGGGCGACCGGCCACACUGGGACUGAGACACGGCCCAGACUCCUACGGGAGGCAGCAGUGGGGAAUCUUGCGCAAUGGGCGAAAGCCUGACGCAGCGACGCCGCGUGGGGGAUGAAGGCCUUCGGGUUGUAAACCCCUUUCAGCAGGGACGAAGCGAAGUGACGGUACCUGCAGAGAAGCGCCGGCUAACUACGUGCCAGCAGCCGC